rnacentral:rRNA from 1 species
UACGGAAGGCAGCAGUGGGGAAUAUUGGACAAUGGGCGAAAGCCUGAUCCAGCCAUGCCGCGUGUGUGAAGAAGGCCUUUUGGUUGUAAAGCACUUUAAGCGAGGAGGAGGCUACUUGGAUUAAUACUCUAGGAUAGUGGACGUUACUCGCAGAAUAAGCACCGGCUAACUCUGUGCCAGCAGCCGCGGUAAUACAGAGGGUGCGAGCGUUAAUCGGAUUUACUGGGCGUAAAAGCGUGCGUAGGCGGCUUCUUAAGUCGGAUGUGAAAUCCCUGAGCUUAACUUAGGAAUUGCAUUCGAUACUGGGAAGCUAGAGUAUGGGAGAGGAUGGUAGAAUUCCAGGUGUAGCGGUGAAAUGCGUAGAGAUCUGGAGGAAUACCGAUGGCGAAGGCAGCCAUCUGGCCUAAUACUGACGCUGAGGUACGAAAGCAUGGGGAGCAAACAGGAAUUAAGAAUAACCCGGU